GGAUUUGAACAUCCAUGAUUGAAGGCUCCAGAACAGGAACAGCUUCUAAAUGGACCUUGAGAAAGCUGAUCCCAACCUCUCCUGUUCUCCUCCAGUCCUGAAGAACAGCUUUCAUCGCCACUAAUGUUGAAUCAACAGGCUCAUAAGGGACAACACAACUGACCGGCUUAGAAAAAAAACUUUAUACUACAUUUUAUCCGGUCAUGCCAUCGGACACUGUUCUGUUAUACGCUAACUGAAUGAACAAAGUUUAUUUGGGUGUUUUAGACAAAGAAAAAAAAACCAACGAUUAAAACACACACUUGUGUUCAAAAGGAGAAGCAAUGAAGUCAGAACUGACUAAAUGAUGUUGACUAAGAGAAAGCACUUCUUAAAAUUUUUAAAUUUCUCUAUGCUGUGUACAGGGUUGGUCUCAGAAAUCAGAUUCAAAACUGUCCUUUAUGAGUUUAUGGAAAUAAGGAGUUUUUAAGUUUAGGCACUCAAAAGUUUUUUUUUUUUCUCGCAGACGAUCAGGAAAUCUGAAAGCCUCAUUAUAGCACUGGUCGGUUACCAAGUAAAUUAAGAAGCAGUCCCAGAAUAUAGUUUAAGUCAUGAGCACUGGGAGCUUUCCUUGGGCUCUGUGUCCAUCGAAUGUGUGAAUGUGACGAAAGGAAUCCUGCGUCAAAGCAUUAGUCCUUGACCCAUGACCAGACUAACCAGUUUAAGGGCCUUUAGGUUUUGUUGACACUGUUGCUAAUCCCUCCCCACAGAAACCUACAAAUAGUCCCUCACUGGACCUGACCUUGUUUUUGGUACUCGUCACUCAGUGCCACUGAGUUGGCUUUACUUUUAAAUAGGAAUAUAUAAUACAUGAGCACAAUAUAAAUUCCAAACCCAACAUUUUGAUACAAGAUUAAAACAAUACACAGCACUCAGUGGAUAAUUUUCUUGAGUGUUGCAAAUGUCUAACUAAAUUUGAAAUAAAUCAAAUUAUAACUAGUUUAGCUGAGUCUUGAUUGCCACUGGUCUCUAGGCUGAGAAAUCCAGUGUUCUACAGCCUGAGCUUAAUGUUCUUCAUAAACCCUGAUGAUGAUAAAUAAGACUAUAGUCCAUGGACAUUACAAUAACAAGUAAUGAAACAGAGAAAAUGUAAAAUCUGAAUUGGGCCCACACAGGAGAUUCUUCUCUCUAGUCCAUCACUGUCUGUUAGGGGCCACAGGGUCUCAGUGUCUGACAACAGCACCUGUUCAUUUCCCAGAUCGGACCUGGGCUCAGUGUCGAGUCCAACUUUGUCUCUUAUGGUUUGACCACUUCUAACAUAGUGUUACUGGACCUGGUGAGAUGUGGACGACAGAGGGAUGUAGGACCACAGGAAUAGUUUCUGAUCAACAUGCCGUCACCUCUGCCGCGUGUACCUCCCCUCUCAUCCAAUGUCUGCUGGGAUUGGCUUCACCCCCUUGCAACCCUGAAGAAAGUAUAGAAUAGAGAAAGAAUGGAUAUAGGGAAUCAUUGUGUGCAUUAUAUUAUUUAAGGGUAAAAUAUUUGUUUAUAUCUGCACACUGCAAAAAUAUGUAAUUCUUCUACAUGUCUGUGUGAUAGUGACAGAAACAUGCACACACAUUUCUGUCUAAAAGGAACUGCAGCCUGGGCAUCCAGUCAUAUCUUUCCAGGUCAUUGUGGACAUCCAGUCAUAUCUUUCCAGGUCAUUGUUUGCACUAACUAACUUUACAUUUUAAGACCUUUAAGGAUUCUGACUGUAAAGAGAACUUGAUGGGACACUAAAAUCUUUUUGCCAUAACGUAAUGACUGAAAAGUGUGAUUUGUGACAACUAUUGAAAUAAAUGUGCAAAAUCCAGAAUCGAUUCAUUUUGCACUAAGGCACAAGCAUAGGGACGAAACACAUGGAUGCUAAAUACAACGUGCACGUUGACACAUAAUCAGCACUAAGUAGAAUUUGAAUUUUUAUGAAUAUCUUAUUGGAGUUUUAAGUAUAUUUGGCGUAGGUGACUAAUACCCAGUUUGGAACCGUCAUCCCCACAUGAUGAA